CUUAUGCAGAUAUUAUGGCAAAGAGUUGUCACGAUGAAGAAGACGAUGAUGGUGAAGAAGAAGUAAAGAGCUUUGAGGUCACAGGAUCCCAAUGCAGCAAGG